rnacentral:misc_RNA from 1 species
UCCGGUUUGGCACCGGCAGUCUCCAAUGAGUCCCCGGCAUUACCCGCUGGCAACAUUGGACAGGGGUUGCGCUCGUUGCGGGACCUAACCCAACACCUCACGGCACGAGCUGACGACAACCAUGCACCACCUGUGUUGGCCCCUUACGGAGCCCUGCUUUCACAGGGUUUAACCAGCAUGUCAAGCCCAGGUAAGGUUCUUCGCGUUGCAUCGAAUUAAGCCACAUGCUCCGCCGCUUGUGCGGGUCCCCGUCAAUUCCUUUGAGUUUUAGCCUUGCGGCCGUACUCCCCAGGCGGAGUGCUUAAUGCGUUAGCGACGGCACUCAGAGGGUCGCUCCCCCAAGCACCUAGUGCCCAUCGUUUACGGCGUGGACUAC